rnacentral:rRNA from 1 species
UACGUAGGGGGCCAGCGUUGUCCGGAUUCAUUGGGCGUAAAGCGCGUGUAGGCGGCCAGGUAGGUCCGAUGUGAAAUCUGGAGGCUCAACCUCCAGCGGUCAUUGGAAACCAUCUGGCUAGAGUCCGGAAGAGGAGAGUGGAAUUCCUGGUGUAGCGGUGAAAUUCGUAGAUAUUGGGAAGAACACCGGUGGCGAAGGCGGCUCACUGGCUCGUAACUGACGCUCAUGCACGACAGCGUGGGGAUCAAACAGG